rnacentral:rRNA from 1 species
GACGAACGCUGGCGGCGUGCUUAACACAUGCAAGUCGAACGGAAAGGCCCUGCUUUUGUGGGGUGCUCGAGUGGCGAACGGGUGAGUAACACGUGAGUAACCUGCCCUUUACUUUGGGAUAACUUCAGGAAACUGGGGCUAAUACCGGAUAGGAGCUCCUGCUGCAUGGUGGGGGUUGGAAAGUUUCGGCGGUGGGGGGUGGACUCGCGGCUUAUCAGUUUGUUGGUGGGGUAGUGGCUUACCAAGGCUUUGACGGGUAGCCGGCCUGAGGGGGUGAGGGGCCACAUUGGGACUGAGAUAGGGCCCAGACUCAUACGGGGGGGAGCAGUGGGGAAUAUUGCAAAAUGGGCGGAAGCCUGAUGCAGCAACGCCGCGUGCGGGAUGACGGCCUUCGGGUUGUAAACCGCUUUCGCCUGUGACGAAGCGUGAGUGACGGUAAUGGGUAAAGAAGCACCGGCUAACUACGUG